ACACUCGGUAACCCGUACGAUCACCGAAGUUAAGCAACAUACAGCCGGGUUAAUACCUAGAUGGGUAAUCACUUGAGAAUACCAGAUGCUGUAAG